rnacentral:rRNA from 1 species
GACGAACGCUGGCGGCGUGCCUAAUACAUGCAAGUCGAACGCAGUGGGGACGGGUGAGUAACACGUGGAUAACCUCCCAUCAGAGGGGAUAACACUUGGCAACAGGUGCUAAACCGAUACUGGAGGAUGGACCCGCGGUGCAUUAGGUAGUUGGUGAGGUAACGGCUCACAAAGGCCACGAUUCAUAGCUGACCUGAGAGGGUGAUCGGCCACACUGGGACUGAGACACGGCCCAGACUCCGACGGUAGGCAGCAGUAGGGAAUCUUCGGCAAUGGACGAAAGUCUUACCGAGCAACGCCGCGUGAGUGAAGAAGGUCUUCGGAUCGUAAAACUCUGUUGUUAGAGAAGCGGUAUCUAACCAGAAAGCCACGGCUAACUCCGUGCCAGCAGCCGCGGUAAUUC